GAUGAACGCUGGCGGCGUGCCUAAUACAUGCAAGUCGAGCGAACGGACGAGAAGCUUGCUUUUCUGAUGUUAGCGGCGGACGGGUGAGUAACACGUGGAUAACCUACCUAUAAGACUGGGAUAACUUCGGGAAACCGGAGCUAAUACCGGAUAAUAUUUUGAACCGCAUGGUUCAAAAGUGAAAGACGGUCUUGCUGUCACUUAUAGAUGGAUCCGCGCUGCAUUAGCUAGUUGGUAAGGUAACGGCUUACCAAGGCAACGAUGCAUAGCCGACCUGAGAGGGUGAUCGGCCACACUGGAGCUGAGACACGGUCCAGACUCCUACGGGAGGCAGCAGUAGGGAAUCUUCCGCAAUGGGCGAAAGCCUGACGGAGCAACGCCGCGUGAGUGAUGAAGGUCUUCGGAUCGUAAAACUCUGUUAUUAGGGAAGAACAUAUGUGUAAGUAACUGUGCACAUCUUGACGGUACCUAAUCAGAGAGCCACGGCUAACUACGUG
rnacentral:rRNA from 1 species